GACGAACGCUGGCGGCGUGCUUAACACAUGCAAGUCGAACGGAAAGGCCCUGCUUUUGUGGGGUGCUCGAGUGGCGAACGGGUGAGUAACACGUGAGUAACCUGCCCUUGACUUUGGGAUAACUUCAGGAAACUGGGGCUAAUACCGGAUAGGAGCUCCUGCUGCAUGGUGGGGGUUGGAAAGUUUCGGCGGUUGGGGAUGGACUCGCGGGUUAUCAGCUUGUUGGUGGGGUAGUGGCUUACCAAGGUUUUGACGGGUAGCCGGCCUGAGAGGGUGACCGGGCACAUUGGGACUGCGGUACGGCCCAGACUCCUACGGGAGGCAGCAGUGGGGAAUAUUGCACAAUGGGCGGAAGCCUGAUGCAGCAACGCCGCGUGCGGGAUGACGGCCUUCGGGUUGUAAACCGCUUUCGCCUGUGACGAAGCGUGAGUGACGGUAAUGGGUAAAGAAGCACCGGCUAACUACGUG
rnacentral:rRNA from 1 species